CAGAAUUUAUUUCAGCAUACACAAUAAUGGCUGAGGCUGCACCACCAGUUGUCCCUAGCGUUGAGUUGCUGGAAUGGCCAAAGAAGGAUAAGCACCGAUUCUUGCAUGCUGUGUAUCGAGUGGGCGACCUCGAUCGCACCAUCAAGUUCGAAUCCCCCUUAGGAGAAAUAUUACUCAUUUUGUUUGUGCUAAAUGUGAUAUCCUUAAAUUUCUUGAGUUCAAGUUACUUUUGCUUUUAUGUUUUAGGUUUUACACUGAAUGUUUUGGGAUGAAGCUAUUGAGGAAGAGGGACGUUCCAGAAGAAAAAUUUUCAAAUGCUUUUCUUGGGUUUGGUCCUGAAGAGUCUCACUUUGUAGUGGAAUUGACAUACAGUAUGUUGAGGCUUUUCAAUAAAGAUUUUUACGUUAUUAAUUGCUAUUUAACUUUCGAAGUUCUCGAUUUCGCAUGAUUGUUUGAUUCUCGGUUCAUUAUAUAUCACUUUCAUUGCGCGGUUCUGCGUUGGUACUUCAUAAAGUGCUUGUGAUAUACUCCUCAUCUCCCCUUCCUGCUCUCAAAAAUGCGCACACAGCUGCACAAAACACUAAUCCAAUUAUCAGAAUUCAUAUUUUCCCAUCCAAAUGAAGGAGGAUAUCCAAUAAAUGGAAUUCAUAAUUUAUAUUCGAGAGGAAUGGACAACACUAGAAAUGGCAAAUGUAUUGAUUAAGAGCUUGUUUGGGAAGGAUUUUUGCUAGUGAAAAAUGGUAUUUUUACAGAAUAUGUGGUUAAAAACGAAGGCAAAGUUAUGGGUCCCAUGGAAUGUGUGGUUAAAAUGAUUUUCAAAAAUUAUCUCCUGAACAAGUUCUCAACAAACUGGAAUCAAUCUAAAGAAUUAUUUCUUUAAUAUUGAUACAUCAUAAUUCUUGUUUGAUUCUCUCUGAUACUAUUCCCAGACUAUGGAGUUGAUAAAUAUGACAUUGGAACUGGAUUUGGACAUUUUGCAAUCGCAACUCAAGAUGUAAGUGUUUAUCUUGUUUGCUUUUUCUUUGUGCCGAUGAUCGAAGUGCUUAUCUAUAGGCCAUAUUAUGGUGCCUUGCAUAGUUUAGUUUGCCUGACAUUUUCUGUUUCCAUCCGUUAGGUUUAUAAACUGGUUGAAGACAUAAAGUCCAAGGGUGGAACUGUCACUCGAGAGCCAGGUCCAGUUAAAGGUGGAUCAUCUGUGAUUGCAUUUGUUAAGGAUCCUGAUGGCUACCUUUUCGAACUAAUUCAACGCGGUCCAACUCCUGAACCACUCUGUCAAGUGAUGCUUCGUGUGGGUGACCUUGAACGUUCUAUCAAAUUUUAUGAAAAGGUGAACUAUUCUUCGUUUUAAAUUCGUGUAAGUUUGGUUUAGGUUUUGAAGCUACCUCUUCAAUUGAUCUAUUUCUGGAGGUCUUAUCUCUGCUCUUCCCAUGUGCAUAAAUAAACGAAAUACCUGCUAUGUGCGUCUCCAAGAAUUAGUGCAUCUAUCAGCCAUUGUGGAUGUCAUGAUAAGACAAAAAUGUUGAAGUCUGUAGAAAAUUGGUUUUUUGAUUACCAGAAGAAUGAAUGUUAUAAGAAAGUUCCACUUUAAUCCUUCAAAAAUAAUGGUAUCAACAGUCUUCUCUUCUGUAACCUUCGACUUCCAUAUAGAUGCUGCAGUGUAAUAUUAAUGUGCAGUCUGGAGCGAUUGGUUCUCUGAAAAUAUGCUGAUAUUUAUCGCUCUUUAUUCACACAGGCAUUGGGGAUGAAACUCUUGAAGAAAACUGACAGACCAGAACAAAAGGUAUCACCAAAUGCAACCACUUUUUCUUUGGACUUCAACCUUUUAUUUUCCUUGGGAAUUUGCUAAUGCAGUGACAACAAACGUUGUUGUACUGUGCAGUACACCAUAGCAAUGAUGGGAUAUGCUGAUGAAUAUAAGACAACUGUCCUUGAGUUGACAUACAAUUAUGGUGUGACUGAAUAUACCAAAGGAAAUGCGUAUGCACAGGUUUGUUAUAUGCUUGUGAAAAUUCUUCAGUUUUUAUCAUUCAACUCUGGCCUCAUGGUGGAUGUAAUAAUAUUUCUAGGUUGCAAUCAGUACUGAGGAUGUAUAUAAAAGUGCCGAGGUUGUGAAUCUUGUAACCCAAGAGCUUGGAGGAAAGAUAACUCGGCAACCAGGACCACUUCCUGGACUGAACACUAAGAUCACUUCUUUCCUAGAUCCAGAUGGUUGGAAAACAGUAAGUUCUCACUUCUCAGGGAUUCAUACUGUACCUUGGAUUUUGACAUUAAUAUUAAUGUUACUAUUGCAUUCUCUCUUCAGAGUUUCGCUUUUCGACUGCAAUUAGUAGUAUUUGAGUACCUCUUCUCCACCCCUCGUGAGCUCGCCACCGUUUGCCCCCAUUAAUUUUUAUUACAUUUUCCUCUCACAUGUUUUCAACCACACAAUCAUACAUAAAAUAAUAUUACACGUAAGUAAAAAACUUUUCCUUUUUUAACCACUUAUUUAAAAAAAAAAACACUAUUCCACCCAUUUCAUUUCCAAAUAAAUGGGGGCCAAACAGGGGAUAUAAGAUUAUGUGCUUCAUUUUUUGUAGGCUAUAUAUGAAAUGAGACAAUUUAUCCAUACUGGUUGCACUGUGACUUGUUCUGAACAUUGGUUAGCCCAUAGUGAUAGCUUCAUCUUGAUGUAAGCUCGUUUCACCGUUUCUGUUGUAUUUAGGUUCUGGUCGAUCACGCAGAUUUUCUGAAGGAAUUGGAGAUCAAAGAGUAAUGAGCACGGUUGUGAUUAAGGGACUGGAUUUCAAAUCUGGGGUUAAUAGUUUAGCUAUGGUAAAUAAAUAACCCCGGACGAGUAGUAUUUGCCAGUAUUGAGUUUUAAUCCAAGUCAGAAUGCAGUGUUAACCAUGUUUUGAGUACACAGCGAGCUUUUCUCUGAUGUAUUUUACUGCAUUAUCUUAUGAGUACUUUUCAAACUUUUCUCUGAGAUCUAAUCCAGUCAGAAUGAACUGUGUUUAUGUUUAUAUUUCAAGAUUUUUCA
rnacentral:lncRNA from 1 species